UACGUAGGGGGCUAGCGUUGUCCGGAAUUACUGGGCGUAAAGGGCCAGUAGGCGGCCAACUAAGUCCGACGUGAAAUCCCCAGGCUUAACCUGGGAACUGCGUCGGAUACUGGAUGGCUUGAAUUCGGGAGAGGGAUGCAGAAUUCCAGGUGUAGCGGUGAAAUGCGUAGAUAUCUGGAGGAACACCGGUGGCGAAGGCGGCACCCUGGACCAAUAUUGACGCUGAGGAGCGAAAGCCAGGGGAGCAAACGGG
rnacentral:rRNA from 1 species